rnacentral:lncRNA from 1 species
GCUGACUUUGUCCAGAUGGAGAUAGAGGAAGGUCAAGGAAAAAUAAUCAAUAGGUACAAAUAGCUGAAGACAGCGCUCUGAUCUUUUCAGGGAUGCUGAGUGACAGGACAAGGGACACAUAGUGAAAGACAGGAGGUAUCACCAUAACAUCAGAAAGCACUGUGAAAGUGCAAAGGUGACUGAGCACUGACACAGGUUUCCCAGAGAGCUUGUGGACUGUCCCUCUGUGGUGAUAUUCAAAAGCCAUUUGGAACACGAUGCUGGGGAACUGCAUCUAGACGUCCACACUUCAGCAAAGAGAGCUGAACCCAAUGACCUCCAGAGAUCCCUUCCCACUUCAGUUUUUCAUUGAUUCUGUGACUGCAGGGAGCAAGAUUACGUUGUCACACAUAGGAAGAACAAAUACAGGUAACCAUGCUAUUCAGGAAGCCAGCAGUAAGAGGAGGUGGCAACCACCAGAGAAGAGUUUGCAUCCCGUCUUCAAACAUUGCCUGCAAUGAGCUUGUAGGCUGGAUGUGCACAAUGGAUAUAGCAUGGUCCUUAUCGAAUCUGGAGGCUCUAAUAUCAACCUGAAAGAAGUGGAAACUUAAAUAUUUCCAGGCUAUAGCCAAGGACAUUACCCCACUCCUCCUUCCAUCCCACCUCAAGUUAUCCACCAGAAAAGCAAACAACUUCAAAGGAAUUACAGCUAUUUGGAAACUUGUCUUAAAC